AGCUUCUUGGUGCUUACCACAGGCUGUGUUCUUACAUUGGCUGUAUAGAAAGAGGAGGCAGAGUAAAUCUACCCCAUAUACACCUCAGCCAGGCCUUGAGCCCAGUCUGUAUUGUGAAUGGGGGGGGGCAUGG